UUUUUGAAUUUAAUUUAAAGUCUAACCUGCCCACUGAAAAUUUUUUAAAUGGCCGCAGUAUCCUAACUGUGCAAAGGUAGCAUAAUCAUUAGUCUUUUAAUUAAAGGCUGGAAUGAAUGGUUGGAUGAAAUAUUAACUGUUUCAUAUAAAUUUAUAAUAAAACUUUAUUUUUUAGUCAAAAAGCUAAAAUUUAAUUAAAAGACGAGAAGACCCUAUAAAUCUUUAUAUUUAAAUAAUUUUAGUUAUAAAGAUAAAUUUAAUUAUUAUUAUUUUAAGUAUUUUAUUGGGGUGAUAUUAAAAUUUAAUAAACUUUUAAUUUAUAAAUUACAUAAAUUAAUGAAUUAUUGAUCCAUUAUUAAUGAUUAAAAAAUUAAGUUACUUUAGGGAUAACAGCGUAAUUUUUUUAGAGAGUUCAUAUUGAUAAAAAAGAUUGCGACCUCGAUGUUGGAUUAAGAUAUAAUUUUAGGUGCAGUAGCUUAAAUUUAAAGUCUGUUCGACUUUUAAAUUCUUACA
rnacentral:rRNA from 1 species